UUAAGUUCAGCGGGUAUCCCUGCCUGAUUCGAGGAGUUCCAAUGUCUUUGCUCUCCCCGCCCCACACAGGGGCCCGGGCUGGCAACCUCGCCGCGCGGGUGCGCCAAUGUGUCAUAUCACGCUCGGCCACGCGGCAGGCGUCCGCCCAUCGAUUCCAGCGGGGUGGCCGCCCGGCUCGGGCCCGCCACCUCCGCCAUGAC
rnacentral:misc_RNA from 1 species